rnacentral:lncRNA from 1 species
CAUGAAAUUCACUGUUGGAGAGAGGUGUUAUUUCAGAACAAUUUAUAUCAAAAGUCUCAAAAGGUAGAUGCUGUGAAUUGCUAGGGUUAAUUUGAAAAUUGAAGCUUCUUCUUAUACAUGCAACUCAAAGUAGCAUAUUUCAGGAAAAGUAGCAGCAGGAACUUAAUUAUUUAACAAAGGUAAAUAAUUAUCAUGAGCAACACUAACUAAGCUUACUUCCUUGCAGGUAUGAGGAUACUGACAAAGAUACAGUACCACAGUAUGAAGCAACUUCCUGACCUAAAUGCCAUAUGGAGAAUAUCAAACUGGCAAUGAUGGGGAUCAUCUCUCUUCC